rnacentral:rRNA from 1 species
UACGUAGGGUGCAAGCGUUUAAUCGGAAUUACUGGGCGUAAAGCGUGCGUAGGUGGUGAGUUAAGUCUGUCGUGAAAGCCCCGGGCUCAACCUGGGAAUGGCGAUGGAUACUGGCUCGCUAGAGUGCGGUAGAGGAGAGUGGAAUUCCCGGUGUAGCAGUGAAAUGCGUAGAGAUCGGGAGGAACAUCAGUUGCGAAGGCGGCUCUCUGGACCAGCACUGACACUGAGGCACGAAAGCGUGGGGAGCAAACAGG